AGSMGAACAGAUAAGGAGCUUGCUCCUUUGACGUUAGCGGCGGMCKGGUGAGUAACACGUGGAUAACCUACCUAUAAGACUGGGAUWWYUUCGGGAAACCGGAGCUAAUACCGGAUAACAUAUUGAACCGCAUGGUUCAAUAGUGAAAGGCGGCUUUGCUGUCACUUAUAGAUGGAUCCGCGCCGUAUUAGCUAGUUGGUAAGGUAACGGCUUACCAAGGCAACGAUACGUAGCCGACCUGAGAGGGUGAUCGGCCACACUGGAACUGAGACACGGUCCAGACUCCUACGGGAGGCAGCAGUAGGGAAUCUUCCGCAAUGGGCGAAAGCCUGACGGAGCAACGCCGCGUGAGUGAUGAAGGUCUUCGGAUCGUAAAACUCUGUUAUCAGGGAAGAACAAAUGUGUAAGUAACUGUGCACAUCUUGACGGUACCUGAUCAGAAAGCCACGGCUAACUACGUGCCAGCAGCCGCGGUAAUACGUAGGUGGCAAGCGUUAUCCGGAAUUAUUGGGCGUAAAGCGCGCGUAGGCGGUUUUUUAAGUCUGAUGUGAAAGCCCACGGCUCAACCGUGGAGGGUCAUUGGAAACUGGAAAACUUGAGUGCAGAAGAGGAAAGUGGAAUUCCAUGUGUAGCGGUGAAAUGCGCAGAGAUAUGGAGGAACACCAGUGGCGAAGGCGACUUUCUGGUCUGUAACUGACGCUGAUGUGCGAAAGCGUGGGGAUCAAACAGGAUUAGAUACCCUGGUAGUCCACGCCGUAAACGAUGAGUGCUAAGUGUUAGGGGGUUUCCGCCCCUUAGUGCUGCAGCUAACGCAUUAAGCACUCCGCCUGGGGAGUACGACCGCAAGGUUGAAACUCAAAGGAAUUGACGGGGAMCCCGCACAAGCGGUGGAGCAUGUGGUUUAAUUCGAAGCAACGCGAAAGAACCUUACCAAAUCUUGACAUCCUUU
rnacentral:rRNA from 1 species